CGGCUGUACCCCAGCUUCUCCAGCCGGGCUGUCAGAGUCAGAUAGCGAUGUGUCAGCUCACGCAGCUUCUUCUCAUCCACGGAGCCGUCUAGGGACUUGAUGGAUGUCUGAGGGACACAAGGCGACAGGGAUGUUGGAUACUGUGAAGCCAUAGAGGCGUGUCACCCCCGGGAACACAUAGGCCAAGAUCCGCCGGUCAAGCUGGAACGCGAUCUCCCCGACAAUGCGACCAUCCUUCUCCGCCCCCGCAAAACUCUGGAUUUCUGGAUGAGAUAGGUACCAUCCUGACCAUUUCAAGGUACCUUUGCCCCCCCCCACUGCCAGAGUAAAUAAAUAUCUUUAGAAAGCUGAGAUGUUUGGAGCCAGAGAGGGGACUGUCUCUCCCUGCUUAAUCUCAGCAUGUUUCGCUGGGACCUGGGCAGAUGAAUGAUCCCAUGCUCUGCCUGAGAUGCUGCCAGGAGUGUGAACCCGAAGAAGACAGUGGGGUCCCUGGGGAGGAUAGCACCCGGGUCUAUCCAGGUAGAGUGGUGCUCUCCCUGUUGUCCCCAGAUGCUGUUCUGCCACCCCACCAACUCAGCCUUCUCUGAGGACAGGGGGAGCAUCACAGCCUGGCUCUGGAAAGGGCCAGCUUCUUCCGGUCCACAGCAUCGCCUUCACAGACUGGCUGGUGUCUAAAGUUUAGUAUCAACCUGAUCUUGCCCUUGUCUGUGGAAAGGAUAAUAGGCUAACAGAAGAUUCUCUUCUCAGAACACUUGGAUCCUUCUUCACACUGGCAUCCCCUGUCUCCCCCCAAAAAAAAAACCAAACAGCCUCCAAAAAACCAUUCUGCCUAUAGCAGCAUCUGGUAUCUUAGAAAUCAUUAUUAAACAACACAGUAUAUAUCAACAUCCUUUCAAAACCAUAUGCUCUUUGAAAAAAUGAACCUCUUCUGAAUUUGAGACAAGACCUGUUGGGCUGGAGAGAUGGCUCAGCCGUUAAAGGCUAGGACCACAACCAAAAAUAUAAGAGAAAAGACCUGUUGUUCAUUCGGGAAGCUCUCGGGUAUCUAUGGGGAGCAUGUUGACCUGUCACUCUGAGGGGGACAGCUCCAUGGUCCCUCUCAGUCCAGUUCCUACAUUGCAGAGCAUAGGAUGGCAACACGGGUAACUUCAGCUUGGGAGUUCCCACCCCACAUCCCAUGUGCUGCCCUCGUUUAGAAGCAUCAACUCCUGACCUUCGCAUGUCCAUCCUGACAAGAGACACUGACAGCACGCUCACACCUAGGCACUUUCCACACGAGGCCUGUGACGCAAACCCUGACAGGAUGCCAGUUUGGUAAGGUCUUGUGGGUCUGACCCAGAAGCUGCAACGGUCCAUGAAUACACAGCUGAGGAAGCCCAGAUCCUGUGCUCACAGCAGUAACUCAACAUCCAUACUCGAGACACUAAUAACCACACAGAGAAGUGGGCCCUGGCCCCUGCUGCUGGUACCUUGUGACCUAGAACAUUGUUGGUGUGUCCACAUCAGCCUGAGACCCAGGAUGACUUGCUGUCCUCCUUACAGCCAUGAUGGAAUGAAAGGGCAGGCCCUAAAGCUAGCUCUGCCUAUACCUUUGGUCAAGCAGUUGUCCAUCAGGUAUCAGGCCCUAAGCCAGAGUCUGUUAUACACACUGACCAGGACGACAUUGUGCCGAAAAGCAUGUACACCUGUGAAUACCAGUUACUCUGGUAAGUGAAACAACCAGGGAGAAGCUUGGAAAAAAUGGGAACCCCAACCUGGGCUCACAGAAUAGGGAACAUGGCAGAUGAAGGCAGGGUACUUAGAAGUAAGAUCAGCUAGUACCUCCCAGCCUCUCCCAAGGUCAAAUAGUCUAUACAUUUCCCAAGUGUGGUCUGUAAAGCAUUGUCACUGCCAGCCAGUGCAGAGAGGCCAAGGACCUGCAUCCUGCCCUCCUGCAUAGACUCCCGGGCAGUAGGAGUCAACAGCUUUGGGUUCAUGGUUACCUGCGGAAUUAUACUCUCCCCAGCCUGUUUUGGUUAUGAAAACAACCAGAGGGCACAGGUCAGUAAAGAGAGUGAGCUUUGCUCUUCUCUGUGACCUUAGCUCAGUCUAGUUGGAAGAAGAGAGCUUCCUCAAAGAGAGUGACACUCAUGACAGGGAAUGUCCUUCCAAGCAUGGCAGACCAGCAAGCAUCCAGGCCAGCAGAACACCGUGUUUUCACUCCUCAGCCUUGGAAUGGUUGACUCAUCCACAUGAGAACCCUUUGAGGGAACCUCAGAUCUGGUACAGCAGGGGCUGGGGUCACCUGAUUCCCCAGCAGAUUAAAAGUCCUUUAUUGGAACAAAAUUCAUAUACUCUAACAGAAGGAAUCUAUCAAAACAGUUACUAAUUAGGUAAAGUUUUAGGACAGAAAUUGUAUUCAUCAGUGUUCUCCGGAGAAGCAGAACCAUUGGGGCAGAGGGAGAGAGAGAGAGAGAGAGAGAGAGAGAGAGUAUACAGAGGGAUUCAUUAUAAGAAUUCACAUGGUUACAAAAUCCCACAGAUCUUGAGAGCUGCAGUCAGCAAAUGGAAAAACAGAAGAGCUGAUGAUGUCGACAAAUCCCUACAGAAGGACCGCCUGUGUGUACCAUACCAUUGAGGUAAUAGGUCCUCCUGCUCCUAUCCCCAGUGGGCAGGUUACUCUCCGAGAAGCACACCUUCUUAGGCCGCACGAUUUCCCUGGGUUCAAGCAGGGUUUUGUCAGCCAGGGAAUCCUGCAAGGGACUCAGCAGUGGGGACAUCUUCCUGUCGGCAAUUCUUGCAUGUAGUUCUGGAGGACUGAGGAAGGACUUGAAAGGGACCUGAGAGGUGGUUGCACAGCCGGGGGAGGCCUCGUCCUCACUGGAGAGUGGGGCAUGUGAGCAUAGCAGGUCCUCUAAGGAAGAUGUCUGCAGCUGAGAGGAUGUGUCAGGGACACUGGCAAACCUUCCAAAAUCUGGACCUGGGGUGGAGAAGAAAAGAACGCAAGUCAGACUGGAGGUACCAGGACAUGACUGAAAGCCCAGAGAGAUGGGGAUGAGAACGAUCGCUCCCAAACCAGAGUUCUGGCCCCUUCUCAGCCCUUCACCUGAUGACAGAGGAAGCCCUGUCCCAUUAACUCAACAAUAAGUACAUGGCCUUGAUGUGCUCACAACCACCCUCACUGCAGUGAUGCCUACGUGCUUCUUAAAUUCCCUGCAAAUGGAUCACCCUGUAAGUUUUCCUGCAAUAUAAGUUUGUGAUAUUUGGGCUGGAGAGAUGGCUCAGUGGUUAGGAGUACUGACAGCUCUUCCAGAGGUCUUAAGUUCAAUUCCCAGCAACCACAUGGUGGCUCACAGCCAUCUGUAAUGAGAUCUGGUUUCCUCUUCUGGUCUGCAUACAUUCAGACAGAACACUGUAUACAUAAUAAAUAAGUAAAUCUUUAAAAAAUAAAUUUGUGAUAUUUAUCCAUGUCCCACCACUUGUGAACCCCCUGGUUCUUCUGUUUC